rfam:Zea mays cultivar B73 chromosome 6, whole genome shotgun sequence.
CUGCGGCUGUGGGAUGAACAGGUCCCAACAUUUACUCCAUUUUUCACUUUGUCAGCUGAUGGGCAUAAAUGUUUAGCUGAUCAUUUAAAAUGGGAAAAUU